rnacentral:rRNA from 1 species
UACGAAGGGUGCAAGCGUUAAUCGGAAUUACUGGGCGUAAAGCGUGCGUAGGCGGUUUGUUAAGUCUGUUGUGAAAGCCCUGGGCUCAACCUGGGAAUGGCAAUGGAUACUGGCAAGCUAGAGUCAGGUAGAGGGUGGUGGAAUUCCCGGUGUAGCGGUGAAAUGCGUAGAGAUCGGGAGGAACAUCUGUGGCGAAGGCGGCCACCUGGACCAUGACUGACGCUGAGGUGCGAAAGCGUGGGGAGCAAACAGG